UUUAUAUUUUUUAUACAAAACAUUUAUAUUUUUUAUAUAAUACUGAAUACUAGCCAGUAGUCGUUCGCUAGGAACAUUAUUUUGAGACAACUCUACAAAACAGAAAAAUUAAAAAAGUGAUUGCACAGCUAUUGUAAUUUAAAGGGUUUAAAUUUUUUUUUGUAAUGAACAAACUACGCAAAAAAUCAACGCUUCUAAAUAAUCGUUCGGAUUUUGUUAAUUUUUCUUCGUUGUCUAUCAAAUCAACAUUUUCCUAUUAAGGCCCUUGACUUUGAAGGCGUUGACAGGCCUUUGAAUAUAAAAGCUCGAGUUAAAUGGCCUUGUUACACAUCAUGGAUGAAGAUCUAGCCGAUAGAAGGUUUGGACACCGCUAUGGUAGAAGAGGUGACUCCGAGCGGGAACUCGAGUUGGAGCCAAUGACUUAACUGAGUGAUAGCGAUAUAGAAGUCUCUGAUGCUUGUCCAAGUUUUUCAAAAGAUAAUGACGAGUUACUAUGUUGUGAGCUAUGGAUUUUAUCAUCGCCGAUAAGUCCAAGUGAGAAUUCAUGGGGAGAUAGCUGACUAGUUCCUGGGAUCAACCGCUUGUUGUUGGUGGCCUUGGGUGCAGUGGAAAAUUUGGAAAUGAGCGUAAUGUAUUUAUAGGACUUUAUGCACAAAUGGUU